rnacentral:rRNA from 1 species
UACGGUGAAUACGUUCCCGGACCUUGUCACACCGCCCCGUCAAGCCAUGGAAGCUGGGUGUACCUAAAGUCGGUAACCGCAAGGAGCCGCCUAGGGGUAAAACUAGUAACUGGGGCU